rnacentral:lncRNA from 1 species
UGAAACAACUUACUGCUUAGAAUUGAGGUAUUAAAGAGGAAGGCGUUCUCAUUUCACAGGUUAAAAGAAAAAUCGUCAAAAAACCUGUUCCACUAGGCCAAUUUUAUGUACACUUGUUUUCAUUGCAGAACUAUAUGUUAUGAUAUAUAUAUAUAUACAUAUGUCCUUUAUUGUAAUUUUACAUAGUCUCUAGGGUUUAGUUUAUUCUCUUUAUAAAUAUGUAACAUUGCUUUGACUCAAUGAGAAUAAGACAUACGUUUCUGAAUUCUAGAUUACACUAUAGAUACUGAAGAUCACUACGAUUAUGAUUAAAAAUACAAUAUACAGAGAUAUUCUCAAGGCCUGCUCAUGUACGAGUUCAGCUUUCACUUUGGUCCAAGGUAUGAAAUUUGAAAUGCAAAACUGAAAUGAAAGGGUACAGAUUUCACAUCGUUCCAACAAAUGAGAUCUCCUCAAUCUCAGGAGCUUAGGCUAUAUUUGGGAUUGCUUUUGAGUCUUAAAAAUGAUUAUAUAAAAAUCGUAACCACUGUAAGCGUUUGGUAAGAUUGAUUAUUAAUAAAUUGUAAGAAUCACUUUUUCAAUCACAUUCAUUCUCUGUUAUUAAAAUCUAUUCCCUAAUAGCUUUUGGAAGUUUUCAAAUCAAUUAGUUCAAUGCCACUGAUUUUUAUUUAAGAAUUUUUUAUACGCAUAAAAAAUGAUCUUCUAAAUAAAUAAUCUAAUAAAACAAACAAGAUAUAUACUUAUUCUGAAAGC